rnacentral:rRNA from 1 species
ACUGUGAGUAGUGAAUCACUCGACUCACGGGUCGAUGAAGAACGCAGCUUGCUGCGAUAAUUGGUGUGAAUUGCAGGGCACAUUGAACACGAACUUUCGAACGCAUAUGGCGGCAUCCGGUCUUCCGGGACUGGAGGCCUUGCCUGUUUC